CAGCACCUCAAGUGGUCAGGAUGAUUAUUGGGCCUAAAGCAUCCGUAGCCGGCGCUGUAGGUUUUCGGUUAAAUCUGUACGCUCAACGUACAGGCUGCCGGGAAUACUGUAGCGCUAGGGAGUGGGAGAGGUAGACGGUACUCGGUAGGAAGGGGUAAAAUCCUUUGAUCUAUUGAUGACCACCUGUGGCGAAGGCGGUCUACCAGAACACGUCCGACGGUGAGGGAUGAAAGCUGGGGGAGCAAACCGGAUUAGAUACCCGAGUAGUCC
rnacentral:rRNA from 1 species